GGGUUGUGGCUCAGUGGUAGAGCGCUCACCUAGCGUGUUCAAGGCCCUGGGUUCGAACCUCAGCCCCA
rnacentral:tRNA from 1 species